rnacentral:rRNA from 1 species
AGUAAUGUCUGGGAAACUGCCUGAUGGAGGGGGAUAACUACUGGAAACGGUAGCUAAUACCGCAUAACGUCGCAAGACCAAAGAGGGGGACCUUCGGGCCUCUUGCCAUCGGAUGUGCCCAGAUGGGAUUAGCUAGUAGGUGAGGUAACGGCUCACCUAGGCGACGAUCCCUAGCUGGUCUGAGAGGAUGACCAGCCACACUGGAACUGAGACACGGUCCAGACUCCUACGGGAGGCAGCAUG